rnacentral:rRNA from 1 species
UUAAGCGACUAAGCGUACACGGUGGAUGCCCUGGCAGUCAGAGGCGAUGAAGGACGUGCUAAUCUGCGAAAAGCGUCGGUAAGGUGAUAUGAACCGUUACAGCCGGCGAUGUCCGAAUGGGGAAACCCAGUGUGAUUCGUCACACUAUCGUUAACUGAAUACAUAGGUUAACGAGGCGAACCGGGGGAACUGAAACAUCUAAGUACCCCGAGGAAAAGAAAUCAACCGAGAUUCCCCCAGUAGCGGCGAGCGAACGGGGAGCAGCCCAGAGUCUGAAUCAGCUUGUGUGUUAGUGGAACGGUCUGGAAAGUCCGACGGUACAGGGUGAUAGUCCCGUACACCAAAAUGCACAGGCUGUGAACUCGAAGAGUAGGGCGGGACACGUGGUAUCCUGUCUGAAUAUGGGGGGACCAUCCUCCAAGGCUAAAUACUCCUGACUGACCGAUAGUGAACCAGUACCGUGAGGGAAAGGCGAAAAGAACCCCGGCGAGGGGAGUGAAAAAGAACCUGAAACCGUGUACGUACAAGCAGUGGGAGCACCUUCGGGUGUGACUGCGUACCUUUUGUAUAAUGGGUCAGCGACUUAUAUUCUGUAGCAAGGUUAACCGUAUAGGGGAGCCGCAGGGAAACCGAGUCUUAACUGGGCGUUAAGUUGCAGGGUAUAGACCCGAAACCCGGUGAUCUAGCCAUGGGCAGGUUGAAGGUUGGGUAACACUAACUGGAGGACCGAACCGACUAAUGUUGAAAAAUUAGCGGAUGACUUGUGGCUGGGGGUGAAAGGCCAAUCAAACCGGGAGAUAGCUGGUUCUCCCCGAAAGCUAUUUAGGUAGCGCCUCGUGAAUUCAUCUUCGGGGGUAGAGCACUGUUUCGGCUAGGGGGUCAUCCCGACUUACCAACCCGAUGCAAACUACGAAUACCGAAGAAUGUUAUCACGGGAGACACACGGCGGGUGCUAACGUCCGUCGUGAAGAGGGAAACAACCCAGACCGCCAGCUAAGGUCCCAAAGUCAUGGUUAAGUGGGAAACGAUGUGGGAAGGCACAGACAGCCAGGAUGUUGGCUUAGAAGCAGCCAUCAUUUAAAGAAAGCGUAAUAGCUCACUGGUCGAGUCGGCCUGCGCGGAAGAUGUAACGGGGCUAAACCAUGCACCGAAGCUGCGGCAGCGACACUAUGUGUUGUUGGGUAGGGGAGCGUUCUGUAAGCCUGCGAAGGUGACCUGUGAGGGUUGCUGGAGGUAUCAGAAGUGCGAAUGCUGACAUAAGUAACGAUAAAGCGGGUGAAAAGCCCGCUCGCCGGAAGACCAAGGGUUCCUGUCCAACGUUAAUCGGGGCAGGGUGAGUCGACCCCUAAGGCGAGGCCGAAAGGCGUAGUCGAUGGGAAACAGGUUAAUAUUCCUGUACUUGGUGUUACUGCGAAGGGGGGACGGAGAAGGCUAUGUUAGCCGGGCGACGGUUGUCCCGGUUUAAGCAUGUAGGCUGGUUGUCCAGGCAAAUCCGGAUAAUCAAGGCUGAGGUGUGAUGACGAGGCACUACGGUGCUGAAGUAACAAAUGCCCUGCUUCCAGGAAAAGCCUCUAAGCAUCAGGUAACAUUAAAUCGUACCCCAAACCGACACAGGUGGUCAGGUAGAGAAUACCAAGGCGCUUGAGAGAACUCGGGUGAAGGAACUAGGCAAAAUGGUGCCGUAACUUCGGGAGAAGGCACGCUGGUGUGUAGGUGAAGUCCCUGCGGAUGGAGCUGAGACCAGUCGAAGAUACCAGCUGGCUGCAACUGUUUAUUAAAAACACAGCACUGUGCAAACACGAAAGUGGACGUAUACGGUGUGACGCCUGCCCGGUGCCGGAAGGUUAAUUGAUGGGGUUAUCCGUAAGGAGAAGCUCUUGAUCGAAGCCCCGGUAAACGGCGGCCGUAACUAUAACGGUCCUAAGGUAGCGAAAUUCCUUGUCGGGUAAGUUCCGACCUGCACGAAUGGCGUAAUGAUGGCCAGGCUGUCUCCACCCGAGACUCAGUGAAAUUGAACUCGCUGUGAAGAUGCAGUGUACCCGCGGCAAGACGGAAAGACCCCGUGAACCUUUACUAUAGCUUGACACUGAACAUUGAGCCUUGAUGUGUAGGAUAGGUGGGAGGCUUUGAAGCGUGGACGCCAGUCUGCGUGGAGCCAACCUUGAAAUACCACCCUUUAAUGUUUGAUGUUCUAACGUUGGCCCCUUACCGGGGUUGCGGACAGUGUCUGGUGGGUAGUUUGACUGGGGCGGUCUCCUCCCAAAGCGUAACGGAGGAGCACGAAGGUUAGCUAAUCCUGGUCGGACAUCAGGAGGUUAGUGCAAUGGCAUAAGCUAGCUUGACUGCGAGCGUGACGGCGCGAGCAGGUGCGAAAGCAGGUCAUAGUGAUCCGGUGGUUCUGAAUGGAAGGGCCAUCGCUCAACGGAUAAAAGGUACUCCGGGGAUAACAGGCUGAUACCGCCCAAGAGUUCAUAUCGACGGCGGUGUUUGGCACCUCGAUGUCGGCUCAUCACAUCCUGGGGCUGAAGUAGGUCCCAAGGGUAUGGCUGUUCGCCAUUUAAAGUGGUACGCGAGCUGGGUUUAGAACGUCGUGAGACAGUUCGGUCCCUAUCUGCCGUGGGCGCUGGAGAAUUGAGGGGGGCUGCUCCUAGUACGAGAGGACCGGAGUGGACGCAUCACUGGUGUUCGGGUUGUCAUGCCAAUGGCACUGCCCGGUAGCUAAAUGCGGAAGAGAUAAGUGCUGAAAGCAUCUAAGCACGAAACUUGCCCCGAGAUGAGUUCUCCCUGAGACUUUAAGUCUCCUGAAGGAACGUUAAAGACGAUGACGUUGAUAGGCCGGGUGUGUAAGCGCAGCGAUGCGUUGAGCUAACCGGUACUAAUGAACCGUGAGGCUUAACCUU